AGAAUCAACGCUGGCGGCGUGCCUAACACAUGCAAGUCGAACGAGAAAGUGGAGCAAUCCAUGAGUAAAGUGGCGACCGGGUGAGUAACACGUGACUAACCUACCUUCGAGUGGGGAAUAACCUCGGGAAACCGGGGCUAAUACCGCAUAACGUCUUCGGACCAAAGGAGCAAUUCGCUUGAAGAGGGGGUCGCGGCCGAUUAGCUAGUUGGUGAGGUAACGGCCCACCAAGGCAAUGAUCGGUAGCCGGCCUGAGAGGGCGCACGGCCACACUGGAACUGAAACACGGUCCAGACUCCUACGGGAGGCAGCAGUGGGGAAUUUUGCGCAAUGGGGGAAACCCUGACGCAGCAACGCCGCGUGGAGGAUGAAGCCCCUUGGGGUGUAAACUCCUUUCGAUCGGGACGAUAAUGACGGUACCGGAUGAAGAAGCACCGGCUAACUCUGUGCCAGCAGCCGCGGUAAUACAGAGGGUGCAAGCGUUGUUCGGAAUUAUUGGGCGUAAAGGGUGCGUAGGCGGUUUUGUAAGUCUUAUGUGAAAUCUAUGGGCUCAACUCAUAGACUGCAUGAGAAACUGCAGGGCUUGAGUGUGGGAGAGGUGAGUGGAAUUUCCGGUGUAGCGGUGAAAUGCGUAGAUAUCGGAAGGAACACCUGUGGCGAAAGCGGCUCACUGGACCACAACUGACGCUGAUGCACGAAAGCUAGGGGAGCAAACAGGAUUAGAUACCCUGGUAGUCCUAGCCCUAAACGAUGACUGCUUGGUGUGACGGGUACCCAAUCCCGCCGUGCCGUAGCUAACGCGUUAAGCAGUCCGCCUGGGGAGUACGGUCGCAAGGCUGAA
rnacentral:rRNA from 1 species